GCCCGGUUAGCUCAGCCGGAAGAGCGUUGAACUUUUAAUCCAACGGACAAGGCUUGAAGACCCUAAUCGGGCU
rnacentral:tRNA from 1 species